UACGUAGGGACCGAGCGUUGUCCGGAAUCAUUGGGCGUAAAGAGCGUGUAGGCGGCCACUUAAGUCCUGCGUGAAAUCUUGCGGCUCAACCGCAAGCGGUCGUGGGAAACUGGGUGGCUAGAGUGCGGGAGAGGAGAGUGGAAUUCCUGGUGUAGCGGUGGAAUGCGCAGAUAUCAGGAGGAACACCGGUGGCGAAGGCGGAUCUCUGGGCCGAUACUGACGCUGAGGAGCGAAAGCGUGGGGAGCGAACAGG
rnacentral:rRNA from 1 species